rnacentral:rRNA from 1 species
GACGAACGCUGGCGGCGUGCCUAAUACAUGCAAGUCGAACGCACAGUUUAUACCGUAGCUUGCUACACCAUAGACUGUGAGUUGCGAACGGGUGAGUAACGCGUAGGUAACCUGCCUGGUAGCGGGGGAUAACUAUUGGAAACGAUAGCUAAUACCGCAUAAUAUUGAUUAUUGCAUGAUAAUUGAUUGAAAGAUGCUAUUGCAUCACUACCAGAUGGACCUGCGUUGUAUUAGCUAGUAGGUGAGGUAACGGCUCACCUAGGCGACGAUACAUAGCCGACCUGAGAGGGUGAUCGGCCACACUGGGACUGAGACACGGCCCAGACUCCUACGGGAGGCAGCAGUAGGGAAUCUUCGGCAAUGGACGAAAGUCUGACCGAGCAACGCCGCGGGAGUGAAGAAGGUUUUCGGAUCGUAAAGCUCUGUUGUAAGAGAAGAACGGGUGUGAGAGUGGAAAGUUCACACUGUGACGGUAUCUUACCAGAAAGGGACGGCUAACUACGUG